rnacentral:rRNA from 1 species
CAGUCGCCACGGGAAUACGAAGGGUGCAAGCGUUACUCGGAAUUACUGGGCGUAAAGCGUGCGUAGGUGGUGGUUUAAGUCCGUUGUGAAAGCCCUGGGCUCAACCUGGGAAUUGCAGUGGAUACUGGGUCACUAGAGUGUGGUAGAGGAUAGUGGAAUUUCCGGUGUAGCAGUGAAAUGCGUAGAGAUCGGAAGGAACAUCUGUGGCGAAGGCGACUAUCUGGGCCAACACUGACACUGAGGCACGAAAGCGUGGGGAGCAAACAGGAUUAGAUACCCCGGUAGUCCCUGUCUCUUAUAC